GGCAAAACCCCAUCUCUACUAAAAAUACAAAAAUUAGCCAGGCAUGGUGGCGCAGGCCUAUAUUUCCAGCUGCUUGGGAAGCUGAGGCAGGAGAAUCACUUACACCUGGGAGACGGAGGUUGCAGUGAACUGAGAUCACACUACUGCACUCCAGCCUGGGCGACAGAGUGAGACUCCAUCUUAAAAAAAAAAAAAAAAAAAAAAAAAAAGACGGGAAUGAAAACUUGUGUGAAAAGUUGCUGAAAGAAAUAGUAAGAUUAGCCCAGAGGAUGGUAACUGUAUUUGGCAAUAUCAAGGUCAUUGGUGAGCUCAUAAUUUUCUAAUUAUUCUUCUGGUAAAGAUGAAACACUUUCCCUGUGAGAAUGAUCUAUGUGGAGAUAGUAGUCUUUAGUUUUGUGACAGCCUCUUCCUUAGUGACUGAAGCCCUUCUCCAGCCUAAUAGUACAACCAUGCCCAUAACUAUCCCAAUAUUUAAUCCCAAUAAUCCCAGUGAUCUCUUACCUAAUCAUGGUGAAUAAAUGCUACUACGCUCAAGGUUCCUACCAGGCUUACUUUCCUUCUGCUUUCCAACACUGUACUUUGUGCACUGACUUUCCUAUGCCCCCAAACCAAUAGAUGCCACACCUUAUUAUAUCCAAUUCCUGUAUAUCUCCAUUUGUAUGGCAUGUUGGACUUUUUGCCUUAACACAAGUCUGCAGGAUCUGUAAGCCAUUCUUCAGUAAUUAUUAUUCAUCUCCAAAAUUCUGCCGCAUGGGUCUCUUGAACCUCAAAGCCAUUCCAUACCUGGGAAGGAAUGGUUAAUAUAUCACAUACUAAAGGAUUUUACAUACAUAGAUUGUAAAAGAAGGCAUGAAAACAAGAAGUGAAUUUUAUUUGGACUGUAAAUUAUAUACCGUCCAAAGGACACUUGGACAUCAUGUAAACAACCUGUCCCUGACCGAUAGUUGUGGGAAUCCUUCUGUAACAUCUCCACAAAAUAGUUAUCCAGACCCUGCUGCUACCUACCCCUCCAGGGAAUGGAAAAAUGCUACUUCCUGAGGCACCUCAUUACAUUUUUAAUUAGCUCUAAGAGAAAGAGAAUGUGUAGUUUUAUUGUACCAAGACUUUCAUACACUCCUCCAAGAUUUUUUUUGUUACUUUGGAAUUAAAUCUGCCUUUUCGAGAUGACAGCCCUUUAGAUAUUUGAAGACAAUUUUGAAAGUCAGCCUACAUCUUCUGUCCUUCAUUUCAAAAACUGUGACCAGAAGAUAAUCUGGGUUACACCUCAUCUCUCAAGGCUGGACACGCCGCCUCUCUCAGUUUUUCAGAUGCCAAGAUGCUUCUUUCACAUCUUAGGAUCAUGGUGGUUUGUAAACAGAUAAGAAAGUUUGGAGUUGCCCAGAAAGAAAGCAUAGUCAUGCUUCACCAAUCCAGUGCUCACUUAUCCAUGUCAGCUCUUUAAGUCAUGUCUGAGAUCCCUGAGACUGCACAGGAAGCAUGGAACAGCAUCUGCUUGGAUUCUGGGGAGGCCUCAAGGAGCUUUUACUCAUGGCAGAAGGUGGAGCCAUCUCACAUGGCAGAGCAGAAGCAAGAGGGGGCCUGGAAAACAUAUCGGGAGAAUAAUCAAGGAAAACUUCCUCAGCCUUGUGACAAAUCUAGACAGCCAAAUACAAGAAGCACAAAGAACACCUGAGAAAUUCAUC
rnacentral:lncRNA from 1 species